UGUUCUCCCCCAUCUUUGCUCCAUUUCCCCGAAAUAAAGACAUUAUAAAUGAGCAUUAGGCUCAAGCGAUGGCAGGCACCCUCAGCCCUGAGACAAGGGAUCAUAGCCUGUUUGUGGGCAGCUGGCACAAAGCAAAAAGGUUGUGUUGUAAAUCCCAGGUCCUUGGUGCCCCUUGCGUAGUGUCUGGCUCCUGCCAUGCCUCACUCCUCUGUGGAGGGAAUGUGGGGGGGGGGCAAUGCCAUGGGACCACUUACUGCAGCAGCCCCCCUGCAAGAGGCAGGCCAAGGCCUAGAGCAGAGCCAUGCUGCUGCCCAAGUGGGGCAGGUCCACUCUGCUGGACUGCUGGCAUGACAUUCCUCUAUUACAGGCUCCCCUUAUCUCAGCAGCCCCCUGUAACCCAGGACAGGUGUUCUGGAGGGCAGUGAGGGUUUCCCACAUGUUGGGGACGAGCCAUGGUGCAUGAAGCUGCAUGACUGGGUCACCUCUGCUGGCGCGCAGCCCCCUGGCAGGCCAGCCUCUCCCACCCCAGCAGAGGGACUUCAGUUGGUGAUGCGUGGGUAAGGGGCAGUCACACCUGGAUCUCAUCUGAAAGGAAUUGGAAAGGCACGUUCAUGUGCAGUGCAAAUUCUGCCUGUGUAAAGGGAUCCCUGUAGCCUUCCUAAGUAAAUUAGGCAGCUGUGGGUGGGGUUGGGGCGACAGAAGCUGAUUGCUGCAGCCCGGAGGAGUGUUGGAAGAGCUAACGCAGCCAUACCUGCACAUCAUGUUUUUGCAUCUCUGCCUAAGGAGCUUAAAUUGCUGUGAGCCUGCUGAACGCGGCUGGGCUGGAGGGUGGUGGAAGCGGGUGCAUGUGCAUAUGUUCUGAGGAAUAGCAAUGUUACUGCUCACAGAAAAGAUGGAAGACAGAGGACUUCUUAUACAGGCUACAAAAUCUUCUAUACUGAAUAUUUCCUCAGUUAUCUUCAUCUAACUAAAACACGUCCAGGAAACAGAAAGCCACGUUUAUUUCACUAAUUACACCAUGGGACCUGAACUGUGGCCUCUCCUAUUUUUGCCUGAAGUCAGCAACUGAAGUGCUCUGGACUUCACUAAGUUCCAGGACCCUGAGUGAAGACACUAAUGCCUCAAAUUCACAACUGAUUUGUACUUUCUCCAGCUGAGACUAAUACAAAUCUUCAGACAAACCUGCAGGAAUCAGCUCAGAUGAUACUGCAGACCUGUGUCCUUACUCUGCCAAGGAAGUAGCUCAUUUCCACCUCAGGAUGAUGGCAGGCAAGAUCAGGGGAGUCUGCCUUUGCAAUUUGGCACAGGAAGGUCUUGAGUCUCUUGACAGACACAAAAGUGUCUCUGGACUGACUCUUGAGCCUAGAACUAUGGAGAAAGACAAGACUCUCAGCUAGAGAUGGAAGAUGAGUACCGCCAUCUGAUGACAGACUUUCUGACCAUUAGUUCCCCAGAAGGACUGUUUUCCCCUUUAACAGCAUUCAGCAGCAGCACCAGAGGAGUUUUCAAAACUCCUGCACAUGAAAGACCAGCAGCAGCUGCAAAUACUUAAAUGUCAGACAAAACUUGGGGUGGUAUCCUUGUUAUUGGAGCAUGAGUUAUAUAAUUCAGUCAUCUUCCUGGCAGGUACUAGUGGUUAGAACCCCUGAAGGUUCCUUGUGCUGCCCUCUCUUGAGCAGAGUAUUUGAAAGCGAUGAUGAACUUUUUGAACUUUCUUCAGAACAUUCCCAUUUAAGAAACAAAAGCAAUCUCCCGAGCACCAGAAAAAGAAGUAUUGCCUACCUCAUCCAGCGCUUUGGCUGCCGUGGCCAUUAGCCAGCGUCCCUGUGCCACUUUUAACAGAGAAC